GGCCGCGGGAAUUCGAUUCAGGCCUAACACAUGCAAGUCGAGCGGAUGAAGGGAGCUUGCUCCUGGAUUCAGCGGCGGACGGGUGAGUAAUGCUUAGGAAUCUGCCUAUUAGUGGGGGACAACAGUUGGAAACGACUGCUAAUACCGCAUACGCCCUACGGGGGAAAGGAGGGGAUCUUCGGACCUUUCGCUAAUAGAUGAGCCUAAGUCAGAUUAGCUAGUUGGUGGGGUAAAGGCCUACCAAGGCGACGAUCUGUAGCGGGUCUGAGAGGAUGAUCCGCCACACUGGGACUGAGACACGGCCCAGACUCCUACGGGAGGCAGCAGUGGGGAAUAUUGGACAAUGGGGGCAACCCUGAUCCAGAAAGGCCGCGUGUGUGAAGAAGGCCUUUUGGUUGUAAAUUAAAGGAAGCGAGGAGGAGGAGCUCUAGAUUAAUACUCUAGAUGCUGGACGUACUCGC
rnacentral:rRNA from 1 species